CAAAGAGGAAAACAGUGGAAGUAAAAGAAAGGAAGGUACGGAUGCAUGAAGAAUGAAAGGUAUAUGGUGGGAUAUAAUAUAGAAACGAAUGAAGAAGGAAGGCGGUGAGUGGUAACGAUGAUUUAGAUUAUAUAAAAAUUUAUCACUAACACGAUAAGGAGAUCCGUCAGUGAUUCACGCAGCGCUAAUGUGUACCUUCCGUGUUUAGUUCUUCCUUCAAUACGUAUUACAACCCCGCAUAGUACGUCACGCGCUGAGUCAGUCCUGGAUUGCGUCACCACUGUUAACCCACAACAAUCAGUCGAAUACCGUAGAUGAAACGCUCCAUUCGUUACCAUACUUAAGGCUUACUCGAACAUCACUCACAAAAAGGAUGCUUAACAUAUCAUGACGGUACCUGUCUACUUUUCCUGUCAUUAUGUAUCGAUUACGUGAUGAUUACCGAUUAUACCAUUUGUGUGGUUCUGCUUAAAGCGGUUGUCUUGAAAGUUAUUUAACUACAUCUUGAUUUUUCAAAAAAGUUUGAAAGUAAAGGUAACGUUGGGGGCAUACGCUAUAGCUGCGCGUGGUCACGGUGCUCGUCUCCGUCGCAUUGGUACUUGAGCCUGUGGUGGGUAACAACCAAUCACUCCGGAACACAUGACCGGUGUGACAUCCGGGUUACGACAGUUUACCUUUUCCAGGUUUCCCCAGGUACCCAUUUAUCGACCAGCCCGAAUGGCAGGAUAACCAGGUGGUUGUGCUGCACUCCGACUGCCCGGGCCAGGAUUCGAACCCGGGCCGACGGAUUUGUAGCUAGUCACGCUAACCACUCGACCACGGAGGCUGUCUAAAAAGGUUACCAAUAUUUUUUCAAGAUUACAAGUAUGACAGUAAGUACUUAGUUACUCCUCGUGGAAACUGUAUCGAGGAGCUAGGGGAAAUCCGUAAUAAUAACUUUUCCUAAUAAGUUUACCUAGAUUAUACGCUGGAAAUUCCUUAACUCACCAUGGGUUCAGUCUUGCGUCGCUCACCACGAGAAGGUACGUACGUACUUGAAACAGCCCCAUUAGAAAUUAGGCAGCUGCUUUCCUGAAGGUGGCCCCUAUAUGACACUGCUCUAGACGAAAGAUUUUAUCGAUGGUCUCAGGAGGUUCAUUACGACUAUAAGAGAGAGAGAGAGAGAGAGAGAGAGAGAGAGAGAGAGAGAGAGAGAGAGAGAGAGAGAGAGAGAGAGAGAUACCCUACCUAGUCCAAAGUGACUGUAGUUCCCAUGCAUUCCUUUCUUUCCUUUCAUUCAUCCAUGCUGACACAAAGAAAACUUAAGGAAAAAUACUACGAAUCUGAAGAUCACACACACGUGUAGAGGCGGAUGUGUAUCAAGAAAACGUUAUCUAGAUCGUAUAAAAGCAUGGUCAGUCCUCCAGGCCUCAUCAGUCCGGCUUUGCCACGCCUGGAGCUACAGUCACAUCAGGUAACUGCUACAUCACACUCGUUGUGCACAGAAGGGUCAGACCGAAACAGAUGGUAAUCUGAGCAGCAUAUGCUUCUACUCCGUUACUGCCAUUAUGGCCAGCCAUUCUGGACGGUUGCUGAUGGUGAUAAGUCUCCUUACCACGCAAAAACUAUUCUCUGUUAAAUGUCUAGAAAUAAAUGUAUGCGAAGUAACGGGUAUACCCAGUCUGACCGUUGACUCAGAAAAGAAUGGGGCAUUUAAGAUAGAAUGUGAAAAAACUGGAGAAAAGACAUGCACUGAAAAAUGUGAACCAGAGUUGAUAUCAGUGAAGUGUAACUUCGACUGUGAGUGUGACGACCCGAUGGCAGACUCGGUGAAAGAGUGUAGCUGUCCGCCUAUAACGGCUAGCAUCGGUGGUGUCGACACUGUUAUAGGCUGUGUUAAGAUAAAAAUUAAUACAGCUAGUGUGCAACAACCCGCAGAACGAUCAUAAUUCUUUUUUUUUUUUUCGGCGACAUUACUGUGGUAUAUGCUCUAGCUGUGUUAUUAUGGAAGUUUACUGUAUGGGGAGGAGCAGAGAGCAAAGAAAGUCGUCGCCGCUGCUAGUUUACGCCUCCGAAAAUGUAAAUGUCAGAAGAAAUUAUGAUGCUGCUGGCGUACAUGUGCGGCUCAUGCAAAGUGACUUCUAAAAGCAUAGUGAAGAAGCGAGGAAAAGGAGCUUUGUUGAAGAUGAGCUUCUGCAUGGAUGCAGUGCCGCCUUUUAUUUGUUGAUGCCGCUAUUAGAAUGGCAUGCAGAGCGCUGCGCUGACAGUGGAGCGGGGCCUGAAACCUUAUCUUAUGAAUGUGACAGGAAUGGAACCACGCUCUUGAAGAUGGGUGCCAGUGUCUUCCAUGCUCGGACAACAUCUACGUCUGACAUCUCUACGAAGCAGUUAUAUGUUAACAAUUUAGUACAUAAAAACGUGCCUGUUGAAUUAUGAGUAUUUAUGCCUAGAAAAAGAAUUACUGUAGCAUUACGAUAAUUUCUACUUAAAAGAUCUAAUCGUUUAGAUUAAACAUGUAAUGUAAGUUUUGAGUGCUGCCUUACAUUUGUACCGAAAAAAUACUUAAAUUGUCUUGUAAAAUGGCACCUUGAAAAUGGUCGCUGUAACCUCAAGGAAGCAGCAGCGGUAAUAUAAUAUAAAGGAAACGAUGCUCGGUUCGCGUAGUAUUGUUUGCAUGUAUAGUGAUAAUAAUAUGUGAUAAAUAAUAAAAAAAAUGAUCAAUAAUGAAAA